GUGGCUUAUGUCAUUGUGUAAAUAUUGUAUAGAUUUAGCACAGAGUGUUAAGAGUUUUUAAAUUAAUUUUGUUUUAAAAUGUCUGUUUCAUAUAUGAUGCGUUUAAAAACAGCUGCUUUCAUAGUUGUUUGUUUUCUGCUGUGGCAGGCACUAAGACAUUUUCCUUCUUUUUCAGAGUUCUCAAAUAAGCACUUGACCCACCGCUGGGAAACUGUGGUGCCAUCAGCAAUAGUGCCACCAAUAUUAGUGACUGUAUUCUAUGAAGCUCUUUGUCCGGACUCAAGAAGUUUUUUUACUAAACAGUUAUUGCCAACAUUUGAGAAAAUUCCACUUCUGAUACAAAUUAAUUUGGUGCCGUAUGGAAAAGCCAUGACAGAGACAGUGGGAACCAGCUACAGGUUCACUUGUCAGCAUGGCCCAUUGGAAUGCCGGGCAAACAAGAUACAUGCAUGUGCCAUUGCCAAGGUGACACAGCCUGAUAUACAGCUCAAGUAUAUAACCUGCAUGAUCAGUGAUAACAUGAACCCAGAGAAGAUUGGAGAAGAGUGUGCCCAGGAUCAUGAUGUGAGGUGGAAAGAAGUGGUAGGGUGUGCAGUGGGUAGUGAAGGAGAAGAACUUUUGAAACAACAUGGUGAGGCAACAAAUGCACUAAAUCCAAGAGUGAGCUUUGUCCCAACUGUUUUGCUGGACCAGAGCCAGGACAAUCAGCCUGGAAUACUGAAGAAUUUGUUUAAAGAGGUGUGCACACACUUACAGGAGCAGUUUUAAUACAGAGCUGCAGGCUUGAGCUGUCUCAAGAGAAUAGCAGGACAAUGUGAAUGAAGAGGAAUGGGAUUCUAGCAAAGAAAGAAGAUGGAAUUUUCCAACCUCAGUGCAGUAGACUGCAGCUGGUGCCAGAGUGUGGGUGAUGCCUACAGAGUGACAUGACAAACGCAUGCAUAUUCAUAUCCCUCCAGGUUCAUAUGGCUCUCCAUUUCCUCUGUAUUCACUGCAAGAACAAAGUCUGUACUAUCAGUAACAUACAUUUUUAGUUAAUGAAGAUGCUUAUCAAUCAGUCAGUCAUAUAUUAGUUGUGUUCUGCACUGAAGACUGUGCCCACAUAACAGUGGGAAAUGUGCUUAUGUCUCUGUGAGUGGUGAAGUUUUAUGUCCUGCAAAGAAAUACAUAUAAUAGAACUGUGUAUUACUUGUGUAAUUACAGUUUAAACUAUAUUUUACUUGAAAAAUAUGCAAUUUUUAAAAUACAUUAUGUGCGUAAUA